CUGUGUCUCCAGAAAUGCAGGAAGUAGUGAAAAAGGGCAAAUGAGGAGCUGAGUGUCCAGGGCAGCCCAACAGCCCAAGAGGCUUCAGACCUAUAAGUACACACAGACAAAAAAAAAAUGCAUUUCAAUAUACAUGGGACAACAAAAUAUUACUUUCUAUGGGAAUCUGUGCUUGUAGAGGACCCAAGAAUAUGCUUGUUGCAAGCCAGGGAACAUUAGAAAUGACACAACUUCAACUCCAUUAAGACUUGGCACUCCCAUAGCAAAGAACUGGAAACAAAGAAGAUGCUGUUAAACUGGGGAAUGGCUAAACAAAUUGUGAUAAGGGAAUGGAAUGGAAUAUUAUUGCUCCAUGAGAAAGGACUAAUAAGAAGACAACAGGAAAGCAUGGGAAAGUACAUGAACUAAGGCAAUGUGAAGUAACCAGAAUUUAGAAGAAAAUAUACACAGCAACUGAAAAAAUGGAAAGCACACACAAAAAAAUAGAAAACGAACAUUAUGUAAUUAUAAUAAACAAGCUGGUCCUCAAAGAAAAAAGAGGAAAAUGCACUUGUGGAUAUGGAUGGGGACACUUGGUUGACAGGUUGGUUAGUUAUAUGAAACUACUCCCAUCCCCCACACAUACCCUUUUUCUUUUUUCUUCUGUGUUAUAAGGGAUGGCUCCCUAAAUAAAGGUGUAAAAAC